rnacentral:lncRNA from 1 species
AUGCACUUCCUCCCCCGAGGGCCCCCUACGCGGCGACGAAGGCAGAAACGCCCCUGGGCGGCCGGAUUCCGGCUUCUCCGCGGGCCCGGGAGCGCAGGGGCGUGCUGCGGAAGAGGGGCGCCCGGGAUGCACCGGCAGGAACCCCCGAGGUGGAGAGGGCGAAGCCUCAGAGGGCGCCUACCUGUGCCGCGGAGCGCUCAGAGCCCUGGGCCGGGCCGGGGGGCGCAGGUGCUCAGGGGCAGCCUGGAGACCGCCCGGGCGGGCGGGGCGUCCAUCGUGCCCGGCUCACUGCGCUCUUCCCGCCGCGGGGGGGCGGGGAAGGGUUCCCCUUGGCUCGGCUCCCGCCUCUUCUCCACCCGGCUGAGGACCCGGCGGGUCCCGCGGCGGCGGCAGCAACAGGCACCGUGGCGCGGGGACGACGGCGGCGGUGGCGGCAGAGGAGGAGGAGGUGUCUGCGCGCGGCUCGCGUUUCCUCCUCCCCGGCUGGGCGAACGCGGGGGAGGCGAGGGGAGGGCAGAAGCCGGGAUCUCCCGACUCAAUCACCAGGGACCUAAGAGGGGGACACGAUGCCCCCCCCUCCCCACCGCGCCAUGUGACUUUGCCCCAGCGGCACAGCCGGGACAGGCGAGUCACACGCGGGCAACAGCUGCUGCAGUGCGGGUCAGCCGCGGCCUCCCUCCCCUCCCCGCCUCUCCCCUCCCGGGCGGUCCAUCCUCGGCCCGCCCCGGGGGCUCCAGCCCCCGCCUGGGGGAGGAGGUCCGGGGCACCGCCCCAUCCAGCCCUAGCGCAGGCUCCUGGCCCGCUGUACGCCUGGGGCUCCGGGGACGCGGGGCCCCGCGCGUGAUUAAGGCCCUCGCGGUGGGAUGUGCGGUCGCACGCCCUGUCCUCGGCGGCCUAUUUAUAGCAGGUGGCACUGCCUGCCGCUCUCUCGGCCAGCGGGGCUCUCAGCAGGUGGCACUACCCGCCCGCUCUUCGCUCCCCCCUCAUGUGGACUCUCGCCUUCUCCCGCUGAAAGGGACGUAG